UACGUAGGGGGCAAGCGUUGUCCGGAUUUAUUGGGCGUAAAGAGCGUGUAGGCGGCCAAACAGGUCAGCUGUGAAAACUCGAGGCUCAACCUCGAGACGUCGGUUGAAACCGUUUGGCUAGAGUCCGGAAGAGGAGAGUGGAAUUCCCGGUGUAGCGGUGAAAUGCGCAGAUAUCGGGAAGAACACCCGUGGCGAAGGCGGCUCUCUGGACGGUACUGACGCUGAGACGCGAAAGCGUGGGGAGCGAACAGG
rnacentral:rRNA from 1 species